rnacentral:rRNA from 1 species
UACGUAGGGACCAAGCGUUGUUCGGAUUUACUGGGCGUAAAGGGCGCGUAGGCGGCGUGUUAAGUCACUUGUGAAAUCUCUGAGCUUAACUCAGAACGGCCAAGUGAUACUGCAGUGCUAGAGUGUGGAAGGGGCAAUCGGAAUUCUUGGUGUAGCGGUGAAAUGCGUAGAUAUCAAGAGGAACACCUGAGGUGAAGACGGGUUGCUGGGCCAACACUGACGCUGAGGCGCGAAAGCCAGGGGAGCAAACGGG